AGUGAGGAGAGGCGGUCACACACACACCCACAACCCAAUCCACACUCAGACUCGCUCAGUCAUUCAGUCAGUGAAGACAGAUAUGGCUAAGCAGAGCUGAACUUCUUGUCAGUCAACAUCCAGACAUUGAUCUUUCCCUCAUUUGGUGUCACUUCUUUCCUUCUCUUUUCUCCUCAUCGUUAUGCACUUCAAUUGGGAAAUAAUUGAAUCACCACCAGAGAAAGGAACUUUGCUCCAAUGACUCUAAAAGUGGACUCUACUCUUUUCUACUUGCCUAGGUCAGCCAGAUGAACACACACAAACCAGCCCACAAAGCCAAGGCUAGGCAUUUGUGCUUCGUCGUCCUCCUCUGCUUCCCUUUGGCGUGGGCUGGCGUCCCUGGUCCAUGUCGGCACUCUGUGACAAAGGGUCACCUCCUCAACCUCAAUCGCCUGAUUGACAAUCAGUUGGAGAAUGGCUGUUCAAUAAGCUAUGCAUUUACUGAGCUCCAGAGUUUGAGUGAAGUCUGUUAUGUGAAAGCAGCAUUUCCACAAAUCCUGGAGUUUCUGAACACAAACUUCAAUUAUGUCAUGAAGUCGGACAACGGGCGCUAUGUCAAAUCCCUGAAGAAGGUCAUAUACAACCUUUACUCCCACAACUGCAUACCCGAAAUCAACGAGGAGAUUGAGGACAACCCAGUGAAGUUUGUGAGGGUGCAGAGCACCUCGCCCAGAGAGGCUCUGAGGAAAGCCCGCGGGGUCAUUGAGAUGUACAUGACCCUGAUGACCAAGAGCAACGGGCCUGUUGACUGGAACUGUGAGGAAGAGUACGCUGAGGAUUACUCAGAAUCCGCCACUGUCCUCCCCACCCAAACCAAAGGCUUUAACCAACUGUAACGGCAUUCAGAGGUUGGAAGAAGGAUCGGACCAAAGUGCAACGUGCUGAACCUGAACCGGAACACCAGUGUACAUGUCCAACAGUGGGUCCGGUGGCCCCUGAUGUCUCCCUGGUCUCUCACAGUGUAUGGAGCAGUCCCCCACAGCCCACCCUCUCCCAACCCACCACAGCUAUGCAACCCAGGCCUCCUCACCAACCCUUGGGUACCCACAGCGCUGACCCUGGGGUGUUCCUAGGGAGUCCUGGUACCGUAGGACCCCCCUCCCUUAGGGAGCUGCAGGUGACUGUCCCUGAUGGACAUUCACUUGGAGAGGGCAGAGAGGGGGAGUUACACUGGGACUCUCGUCCACCUCCACCCACUGGAACUGAGUCAGACUCUGCACUCUAUAAAACAGGCUCUAACCCCCCUUCUGCUACAGACCACCCUUUAGUGUCUUCCCCUCCCAGCCUAGUUCUCCUGGAGACUGUUGGCUCCAAGGACAAGGCUUUUUACUACCCCCAGACUGAAAGGGCGAUGGAGGCUUCUGCAGACAAACCAGCAGGGAGAGGAGCAGCAGGUUCACCCCACAAUCUCUUUGUUGUACCUAGGGUCAAGCUGGUCACACCUGUCCCUUUCUUGUACAAGGUGAUGGGCAUCACCCUCAGUAGUGAUGAGAGCACUGCCUAUGUGUUGGCCAAGAGGUCACUGGACGCCAGGAACUAUGGAAUAUUCCAGGAUGGAGUUUCAACAGAGACCCUUCAACUACAGGACACUACAAAAACAUACCCAAGCACAGAGAGAUAUUCACAUGCCUGGAACCAUCCGAUUGGGAGCACUACGACUGAAGCAUCUCCACAUUUGAAGAUGACAGAGGAGGAGCCAGACAAACUACACACCACUACAAAGGUCCUGGGCCAAAUCAGGAAGACUGAGUCAAAACAUACUAGAACAUACUAUGAGGAAGUCUUGAGCACAGAUAUCCUGUCAGAGAAGACAGAUGUGGAUGACACUCCUAUUUCAGAAAGGCCCAGUGAAGGCUCAGAGAAGAAAUUCCAGAAUGGGAAAACUGGUCAUUACGAUUCCAGCACCUACUACCAGACAGCCUUUUUCAUUGGAGCCAUGUGCGGUGGAUUUCUCCUCAUCACAACACUAUUCAGUGAGAAGAAGAGACUCCGAGCCCUUCUCCACAGUGCCAACAUAAUUGAAAACCAGAGGGCAUGCCGCAACAUUAAGGACAUUGAGCUGCAGUAUUAUAAAGCCAAGGAUUGAGAGAUCUGGAUUGAUUUCAACUGCCAGUAAGAGACCAAUAACCACCUAAUUUGUCGAAUAAGUGGAAGACAUGGACAUUUGGCUGUUUUACUCGUGUCACUUUUGUAUAUAAAUAUCUAAGAAUAUCUAAAGUAAUCUAUUUUUAUACAAAUUAAGUUUAUUAUUGCUUGAAAUAUUGCUGGAUUUUUUUUACAGAGAAUCCUAUGGUUUCAAAGUUAUACAAUAUUGGCCUGCUUCUAUUCUUUUUUUGUUUAAAAGGUUUGAGUGAAUUUGUCGCUCAUAGACUAUUUGGACGGUGUCAUGUACAUCAGAAAUAGAGUGGACCAAUCAAUCCUCCAAGGACUCUUCGUCACGGCAGGGGUUAGCGACUUCACCUAACUCGGAUGCUUUUUUCAAUGUCCUGCCAUCAAACAUCUCCAAGCGUGACUGAUAGAUCCUCACAGUGAAAUGCACAGUUCAAGAGGGGAAGAACCUGAUUUUUUAUUACAUCAGCAUCUGUGUUUGGAUGUGUCUCCUAAGUCAACAUCAAACUUAAGAAAGUCUGUGUGACUGAAGUACUCCUAUGACAUUGUUGAAUGGAGUUGGGUUCUUGAGCCAAAGUAAAACCAGGUGCCAUUACCUCAAGCUGACAGAGAGAUGUAUCUUUGGGGAUAAAUAAAUUAAAUAGAAAAAAACCACAACGUUUUUAGUGAACUCCAUAAAUGCAAUGAUGCAUCAUACUGGAUUAAUUUGCAUUUUAACAUUACUCUGUUUUGUCCCUUUCAAAUUAUGACAAUGACUUAAACCUGGUUCUCAUGCCAUGUUGUGCUGAUACCAAUGAGAAUGUAUGACAAUCUCCAGCAGUUUGUAAACCUAUUAGAGCGCUCCAUUCCCAUACAGUGAAUCAUAUCCAUAUACAAAGGAUUGUGUUAUAGUCAUGUGGCGUGACGGUUUUUGUAAAUCACAAAAGUUGAACAUGUUGUUGGUCCUUUGUCCCUUUCAAUUGCUUAAUUGGGAAGUAAGAGAAUGCAAUUGAAGUGCUGCUAAUUGAUGACUGUGCCUAGAACCUUCAACAAGCACUACACAAUUAAAUAGAAACUGCAAUUCCAUUUUCAGUUUGUUACCUAAAUUAUGAAAUGUUUCAAUAUGACUUGUGCCCUGUAAUAAGUGUAAAUGAACAUCUUGACAGUGCUAACCCAUAUGAGUCACCCUUGGAUUAUGCUGUAUUUCAGAUCAAUUGUGUUGAUUCAAUGCAAUGUAUUAGAUCAUGUUAAGCCCCAGGAUCAUGUAUGUAUUACUUUAAUACUGUAUACAAUAAUAAUAAUAAUACAAAUAAUAAUGAAGAUUGACAUGGAACUGUUAAAUAUUUAGACUCUUAUGCACAAUUGCAGUAAAUAGAAGUUGAGGUGUUGUCUGUUCAUAUUGGUCUUUGCUUAGGCCACGAUUCAAUCCAAAAAGGUGUUAGAGUCAUGUUAUAGUGCGUUUGACGUGAAGGUCAUAUCCGAUUGAGCAGACAUCUGCAGCGUUUACCGUCAAUGCAAUCUCAGCAAAAGUGGGGACAUUAAAAGCUGCAUUGUCUUUAGAUUUAGGAACUUAAUUUGAUCACCCUGUUGUAAUUUAAAACGUGUGGUGUUUUGAUGUUUAAAAAGGUUUCUGAAGUUUGUAAUUUCCACUUUGAAAUGUCAGACUUUAUUUUCCCUUAACAAUGUAUCAACCCCUACAAAAAUGUCCAUACAUAUUAAUCCACAUUAUAAUUUACAUGUCCUGUUGCUGUAGCAAACUAGCUCAUAUUAAGACCCUAUAUCUGUACAUGCGUGAACGGCUUGAAGCCUUAGUGUCUAAAUGCAGAAAGAACAAUAUAUUAAAGGAAUCCUCAAUAAAAUUGGACUGGAAUGAA